rnacentral:lncRNA from 1 species
CAAAAAACGAAUCACGCGUUCUCCCACGCGAAGAAAACUCUCCCCCUCUCUCGUAUUUACUUCUACCAUAUAUAUCUUUACACACCGUAUCCAUUCCGUGGAUAUUCGUUCCAUUUAUCUUUAAAUUUAUUUAAAAGAUGGAUUUUACAAUUCGGUAUGUUGUCGGAUUUUACAUCCAUCGUACGUCUAUCUUUUCGUUUGAUUUUGCGAUGAAAAAUGUGUCGUUGCAUUGAUAUAUUAGAUGCGAUACCAUAACGGAAACGUGAGCGAUAAUCGAUAGAAAAAUCAGGCGUAUUUUUGGAUAAUUUUACGAAACAAAAUUUUAUCAAAAUCGAUCCACCGCGUUUAGGUGUAACGCUUUCUAUAGAUGCAGUCGUAUCUACGCACGGAUAAAUAAAACGUUGAAACGUUGAUCCUUUAUCGCUCGACGAUAUUCGACUAUAACCUUCGUCCGAUCGAAUGUUAACGUAUUACCAGAACCGUUCGUUGCCAAGGAAACGUCGUACAUUUUCGACGCGAGAUCGUGACAAUAUCGAAGCGUUUUUACAGUAUCUACGAACGUAACGUGACCACCGUGCCAGAUUAUUUUCAGAUAAAUCUUUCGCUGUAUUCGUUUCGGUUAUAUACGUAUUUUUCUACGUAUUCUGUUAUACCGAAUAUUCGUUUUGCGAACGUUUGUACGCGUCUUGUGGGCUGUGAACGGAAUGGCCCGACUUACGGCAAGGUACAGGGACUCUGAACGAAGGCAAACGACGAAUCAUCUUCCCGACUCGGCAAGACGAAAUUACAACUAGCGAUAAGACCAAAUUCGAUAUGUACUGGUAAAUCCGAAUCAAACUCCAAGGGUCGUCUCGUAGAGUUCGAACACUACUCGUUAAACGAAGGAGCUUGUUACAAAUUUACCGAGAGGGCCGUUCGAAUUUUAAUCUUUCAUCGAUAAAGUUACUUUUCGAAUUCGUCUAGAUUUAGAAAAAAUAAUCCGUAAAACUGCGAUCUGUCAACUUUUGCUUGCGAGGCGUUGAGAGUGUAACGUAAAUCACGUCAGAGACCAGGACACACACACACACCGCGGGCAGGAUGGUGUCCCGAUCGGCAUACUUCGUACCCGAUGGACCGACGAGGAAAACGCAUGGCGACCUUGGCGACAAUGUAUAUUGCCGGAGUACCUGAGGAUUCGUUUAUGGCCUAACGAUCCUUCCACCAAAUGUUCUAGAAGCGUAGCAACGGUCACGUACGCCUACAGGGUAGUGGAAAUAAUGAGGGAUGACAAACAAAGAAGGAACAGAUGUCACCGAAAGUAAAAAUAUUGUAAGAGCCUCAGUCUCGAACGGUCACGGUUAGAGCUCAGAAGUGUCUUAUAAGUGUAUAAACGAAG